rnacentral:rRNA from 1 species
UCUUGAUCCAGAGAACUUUCCAGAGAUGGAUUUGGUGCCUUCGGGAACUCUGAGACAGGUGCUGCAUGGCUGUCGUCAGCUCGUGUUGUGAAAUGUUGGGUUAAGUCCCGCAACGAGCGCAACCCUUAUCCUUUGUUGCCAGCGGUUCGGCCGGGAACUCAAAGGAGACUGCCAGUGAUAAACUGGAGGAAGGUGGGGAUGACGUCAAGUCAUCAUGGCCCUUACGAGUAGGGCUACACACGUGCUACAAUGGCGCAUACAAAGAGAAGCGACCUCGCGAGAGCAAGCGGACCUCAUAAAGUGCGUCGUAGUCCGGAUUGGAGUCUGCAACUCGACUCCAUGAAGUCGGAAUCGCUAGUAAUCGUAGAUCAGAAUGCUACGGUGAAUACGUUCCCGGGUUUGGUACACACCGA